rnacentral:lncRNA from 1 species
UGACUACAGCCGUGCUGGAGCACGGCUUUUAGACGACCCGAAGCUAUAGUAGAAGACACUUGCCCAAGGUGCCAUGCAGUGGGACUGAACCUGGAACCAUGUGGUUGGUAAGCAAGCUACUUUAUUUCAUAAGUAUUUGCCAUGAAGGCAUUACAAAAAAGGGAUCUUUUCGGUUUGAACGGCAGUUUUUAAAAAUAAUUUCCACGUAACUAAACACUUUUAAACUUCGUAUACUGGUAGAAUGUGUUUAUAAAACAUCUUUUUCUCUUGGCUUUAUUGAGAAAAUUCUAUAGUUUGUAAGAUAUUUGUUGUUUUUUUCUUCAAUUUCUGCAAUUUUAACCAAUCAAUGACGUCUAUUGAGGUGAAAAUAUUAUGUACCGUAUGAAUAUGUCCCUCGUUUAAGAAACAGAUUGGGUUUAUUUACAUUUCUGAAAAAAAGAUACCCUCCCGCCCUAACCCUAACCAACCCUAACACUAAACCUACAACAGAUUGAAAUGCAAUAGAUCGAUACUAGGGUCAUAAUUAUGGGUGACAAUUUCAUAUGACACCGCUAGAAAAACUACCGUUCAAACAGAAAAGAUCCCAAAAAGAGGACGAAGAAGGACAGACAAACAUAAAAGGGUAUAGUAGCUGUAGCGAUUAAAAAUUUACGAUUUAAAAAUACAAUAAUUUAUUGAUUAUAUUUAUAAUUUUCGACUUAAGUGUUGCUCAUUACAAAUGCAAUGUGUCAUAGUUUCCCUGAAGGACUAGCAUUUGACCACCAAGGUAGACACCUUGCUUUCUCUGUUUUUUUUUUUUUUUUGUUUUUUUGGCUUAUUCGUUCGAAAUAUAUUUAUACACAAUUUAAUCUCAGAAAACGGGAAACCUAUAAUUUUUUACCUUUUUUUCCUCUCAACGAGGACAACAGUUCAAAUCCCACCCCCGCUGGCGGACGAGACGUAACUACAAAACCUACAACGUUCGAAAUUAAAUUUUUUACACAAUAAUAAAAAUACGGUAUCCCAAAAAACGGGAAAAACCUAUAAAUGUUUUUUCCUCACAGCGAGGACAACUGUUCAAAUCUCAUCUCCGCUAGGGGCGGGGUGCCUACAACGGCUAAAAUUAAAUUUUUCUCACAACAAUAAACUGAUUAUCCAAAAAAAAAACGGGAAACCUAUAAUAUUUUUUCUCUUAAUGAGUAUAACAGUUCAAAUCCCACUCCGUUGGGGGUCGAGGCACGACAAUAAAGCCUACAACGGCUUUAACAAGUUCAAUAUUUCAACAAUUCCCAACUGCAAAAAUGGCUUUACACAAACAAUAUCUUUCUCCUGUCACCGGUAAAAAAUGCACAAAAAUUUUCGAAGUUUAACAGUUCAACAAUGUUCAACAGUUCGAAAAUGUUCAACAAUAAACAGUUAACAAUUCCAACAGAAAAAUUAUCCAACGUUCAACAAAACGUUUGACUCACCGCCAAAAAAAAAACACGUCUAACUACCUGACAGGUAAGCGAGCUCCUUUAUUUCAUAAGAAUUUGCCAUGAAGGCAUUACAAAGAGGGGACGAACAAGGACAGACAAACAUAAUAGGGUUUAGUAGCUGUAGUGAUUAAAAAUUUACGAUUUAAAAAUUCAACAAUUUAAUGAUUAUAUUUAUAAUUUGCGACUUAAGCGUCGCUCAUUACAAAAGCAAUAUAUAUAUAUCUAUAUACAUACGUUAUAUACAUAUAUAUAUACAUACAUACGUUAACCUUAUAAACUGAUAAGGCGAUUUGAGUUUAACUCUAGGCGUCGAGUGAGAGCCACUGAUAAGCAUUAAUAAAAAUGCAGAAUCACUGGUGAUUUGGUUAUGGCCGGAUGCUGGGAGAGCUUCCCUCACUUGUCAGUAUUUCGUUUGUCAGUCAAAGGCUUUCCACAAAUUCCCAAUCAUGAUUUCAAGAUUUGGACGGACAAUAUGAUGUAAAUAAUGGUUUAAAACGUUUUGGCACAAUGCCUGCAACUUUAGGGGAGAGGGUAAAUCGAUAUGUUCAACUGGUACUUAUUUCAUCCACUCCGAAAGGGCAAAAAGUAAAAGCUGGCUUCAGAACAUACAGACUGACGUAUUGACACUAAGUAUUUUACUCGAUGUGUUGACGGUUCUGCCAGCUCAUCACCUUUUAUGAUGUACCUAUUACCGCAUAUGUACUACUAAUGUGUGACAAAUCAAGUUUGAACGUGAGAACAUGAUAAAUGGUAGGUGUACAAGUCAAUGUCCUCUAGCUCCAAAGUUUUUUUUAUUCUCUCUCUGUUUAUUUUCUCGUGCUCCUUUCUGUUGAAGAGCGAAGGCUCGAUACAUAAACGACUUUCUCACCUUCUCGAUCGUCAAACAAAUACAACUGUUUAGUGUUUAUACACCUGUCUACGUCUUUUGUUUUUCUGUAAAUUUCAACUAUACAUACAUACAUACAUACAUACAAACAAAUAAACAAAUAACUGGCAUUCCGUCGCUUGCGACGACGAGAGUUCCAGUUGAUCCGAUCAACGGAAUAGCCUGCUCGUGAAAUUAACGUGUAAGCGGUGAGCACUCCACAGGCACGUGUACCCUUAACGUAGUUCUCGGGGAGAUUCAGCGUGACACAGAGUGCGACAAGGCCGGCCCUUUGAAAUAAUACAGGUACUACUCAUUUUUGCCAGAUGAGUGGACUGGAGCAACGUGAAAUAAAGUGUCUUGCUCAAGGACACAACGCGUCACCGGGAAUUGAACGGGAAUUCGUGAGCCGAAUACCUUAAUCACUAGGCCACGCGCCUUCACUACACACACACACACAUAUAUAUAUAUAUAUAAUGUAUAUAUCUAUAUAUGCGUAUGUGUGUGUAUGUAUAUAUGUAUGUAUAUAUAUAUAUAUAUAUAUAUAUAUAUAUAUAUAUAUAUAUAUAUAUAUAUAUAUAUAUAUAUAUAUAUAUGUAUAUAUAUAUACACACAAUGUAUACACAUACGCACUCACAUAUAUAUAUGCAUACGUUACAUUCCUACACACAUUAUACACCCACAAACAUACAUAUAUUCACAUACACACACAUACAUUAAUGUCAAAUGUCACUCACAACUCAUUGGUCAACGAGGACGAUAACCUAUAGUAGAUGACAUUUGGUCAAGGGGAUGUACAGUGGAAUCGUGUAAUUCCGUAGAGAACUUCUUAUGCAAUCCUAUUUGUAGAUUACUUUUAUUCCACGAUGCUGGCUCUCGACUGUGACAAGAAUGUAAAUUAUUUCUAUAUAAGAUAUGAAAAAAACAAAAAAAAACAAAGCCAUAUUCUUGAAGACUUUGAAGAAGAAAAGUGUCUUUGUAUGAUUUUUUGAUAAUGACUUGAAUAUUCCAUAACAACUUGACGAUAUAGGGUGGGGGUAGUUUCCUAUUAGCAUACUUGGAACGAUAAAAUGAAUUGCUGUUUUGUUAUUCUUUUUACCAAAGAUCGAUGGAAACAUAUUUCGUAUAUGAUAAGAUUAUUGAGUAACCACUCUUUAUCAAGAUCCGCUUCUGUAAGAAAUGAGCUACAGAAAAAAAAUUAUUAAAUUUAUUGCAACCGUAAAACGUGAGUUGUAUAGAGACACACAUAAGGGUUUUUGAUUAUCUUUAAUAAUCCUACCGAUAAAACGUUCUUUUAUGAGUUAAAGAGAAGCCAUUGAUGAAUAGCAGAAGACAAUAAAUGUGAGACGUUAUUAUAUGACACACUAAAAAGCUUCGUUACAAACAGCAUUAACAAUCUAUGGGUUUCUGAAACAUAAAAGAAACACAAAACGAUAAUAGAAAUAUUAAAUUGUCGAGCUGAGUAGACUUUUCAUGCCCUUGUACAAAUCAAUGCAGUGACGACUCUCUUGCAAGAUACAGGCUGACCACCUUCAGUGGAGAGAAUUAUAGCAUAUAUUUUUGGUCAUUUUGAUUCAUCAAUAUAGAUCUUAAACGCUAGAAGUAUAGCGUUAAAUGAACUUUGAAAUCUGUUGAUGUGAACUGUCAUUAAUCUAAUACAUAAUUUCGAAAAUGUCGAGAGUAUAUUCCUGAAAUAUCUAAUUAGCUUUUGUUUUUGAUGAAAUUCGAGUCCAUUAUGUUAUAAUGGUAACGGAUAAAGGAUAAUCUCGAGUCAUAUAGACUCAUAAGGCCAGUUUCCCGGUUUCAGUGGCACAUAUAUUCGCCACGUGGAUGGGACGCCAGUCCAUUGAAGGAUAACUCAUUUUGUCAGCUGAGUGAACUGGAGCAACGUGAACGCCCGGUCCAGAAAUCGAAACUGCAACCUUACGAUCCCAACCCCUAAGCCAGGCGCUUCCAUCACGUUAUGUUACAGGAUCCGAUAAUAUUUUGUUAGUGAUACAGGCAUAUGUUGUUGAAAGGUUUGUUGUUUCGGUAGAGUGUGCCGAUAAUACAUUUUUUUUUUAUAAAAGUAGGAAAUGGUUGCUUUAAUUGUGAUUACUUUUAAAGUCCAUUGCCUUCUUUGCUGCUGCUGUUGUUGUUGUUAUUGUCACUCUUGUAGUUCCCAUCGUUAGCUUUGCAACUCUUGCCUUUAUUGGUGUUACUGUGAAUUCUGUAGAAAUUUUGGUGCUUUGCAUUUUGAUCUCGUUGUAUUAUCCUGACACUUCGUUUACACACAGGCGUUUGGCUCUAUCUAUCAAUCUAUCUAUCUAUCUAUAUAUCUAUCUAUCUAUCUAUCUAUCUAUCUAUCUAUCUAUCUAUCAGAAGAAGAAGAAGAAGAAGAAGAAAUAUAAUAUAUAUAUAUAUAUAUAUAUAUAUAUAUAUAUAUAUAUAUAUAUACUUAUAUAUAUACAAGUAUAUAUAUAUAUAUAUAUACACAUAUAUUUAUACAUACAUGUAUGGGUGUGUGUGCGUAUGUGUGUAUGUGUGAUUGUAUAUUUUAUCCCUAUAAAAUGAACCAUCAACUAAGAGCAGGCGUUAAGUUAGACAACUCAAGACUCGUCUUUCUGUUUUUUUUUUGUUUUUUUUUUUUUCAUUUUUAUCAUCAACAGCAAAUCCGCCACUAGAAAGCAGUCACUGCAAACAUUUUACAUUUCCUCGUGAUAUAAAACGAUCUGGAUGAUUUUAGGCCUUGAUACUAUCAAAACCUUUCAGUGAAGCCAUACGAUCAUUAUAUCAGUAGAAGAGAUUUGAAUUCUAGUCGACUUUAUUUUAAUGUUUGCCUUAUUUUUUUGGUAUUUUUAUUAUCAGUCUUCUUUACUUUUUUCUUACUUUCACGUGAUUUUUACGUUAUCGUAACAGUCAAUAAUCUUAUAUGGUUCUUUUAUCUUGUCUUCGUUUUAUAUUGCUAGCAAUAGCACUAUCAACGAUAUCACCAGCACCAUUAACAACAACAACAGCAACAGCAACAACAACAACGACUGCAGUAACGAUAUGAAUAACAACUAUGUUUUCGCCGUUCAUUUUUACCGAGCUGCCGCCAUGAAAACAUAGUCUUCA